rnacentral:rRNA from 1 species
CACGUAGGGUGCGAGCGUUGUCCGGAAUUAUUGGGCGUAAAGAGCUCGUAGGCGGUGUGUCGCGUCGGCCGUGAAAACCUGCAGCUUAACUGUGGGCUUGCGGUCGAUACGGGCAUCACUGGAGUUCGGCAGGGGAGACUGGAAUUCCUGGUGUAGCGGUGAAAUGCGCAGAUAUCAGGAGGAACACCAAUGGCGAAGGCAGCUCGCUGGAACGGUACUGACGCUGGAGGCGCGAAAGCGUGGGGAGCGAACAGG